rnacentral:rRNA from 1 species
UACGUAGGGGGCAAGCGUUGUCCGGAUUUAUUGGGCGUAAAGGGCGCGUAGGCGGCGUGGUAAGUCACUUGUGAAAUCUCUGAGCUUAACUCAGAACGGCCAAGUGAUACUGCUGUGCUAGAGUGCAGAAGGGGCAAUCGGAAUUCUUGGUGUAGCGGUGAAAUGCGUAGAUAUCAAGAGGAACACCUGAGGUGAAGACGGGUUGCUGGGCUGACACUGACGCUGAGGCGCGAAAGCCAGGGGAGCAAACGGG